rnacentral:misc_RNA from 1 species
GAUUGUUCAGUUCAUGAUUUAUAAAUUAAGUCUUUUUUGAAAGGCCAGUAAAAAAACACUCUUACGAGUGCAUUACAGCCAUUAGUCUUUCCCAGACAUCCUGAUCCUGUUUAGGAAAACCAUCCAGUUUCAUUGGUCAGUCUCGCCUCUGGAGUCCAUCGUUAAGCCUUGAAGUAAGCUAAGCUUUAAUCGAAUACCUUCUAUAUGCUUGCCAUAAGAGAAGAACCUUUUACCUUCCCAGCCGAUCGUUUAUGGUUCCUUUUAGUACUACUUCUAUUGCUAGGUCAGCCAGUGAGAGGUCUGUUACAGCCCGACCAGUCUCCCUAUAAGUUACGUCUUUGGGAGAAAGCUUCCAUUCAUUGUGCCUUUCCCUUCAGCCAGUUUCG